rnacentral:misc_RNA from 1 species
UCUAAAACUCUACAUAUUCUUGCUCAUUAGGAAUUCUAAGCUGUGACGAAAAGCCAGGUUGUUUGAAUCAAGCUUUUAAAACCACAUGUCGUCUGUUCUACAAAGACAGCACCACAGCCACCCACACCAGCUUAAGCUUAAACGUCCAUCGGCACCUUAUUUCUGUAGUGGAUGUAAACAGAUAGGCUUUGACAUAUGCUACCAGUGUGAAACUUGCAAUAACUUUUCCAUCCAUGAUGAAUGUGCAUUUCCCACCGCUCCAACUUACCACCAUUUCUUCAAGGACUGCAGGUUCGAGUUUCAUGAGCAAUCUCCAAUAACACCCGAUAAAGGCAGAGAUUGUGAUGUAUGUGGGAUGGAUAUAAAAGGGUAUGUGUAUCAAUGCUCCUGUAACAAAUAUGACAUGCACCCUCACUGUACUAAGCUCCCAGAAACCUUAACCGGUGAAGGUGUGAAGCUGCAACUGAAGAAAAAGGCCGCACUUAAUUGCCAAAAAUGCAAAUUCAAGGUUAGUUCAAGAAAAGGGCCCAAAGGGUGGUGUUAUGUUUCUACUUGUGGGAACUACUGUCUUCAUGUAGCUUGUGUGAAGCAGAUGGUUUAUGAGGCCUGGAAAAAUAGCUACUUCAAUCAACAAAAUGAUGCAACAGACAGAAACGAUUUGGCAGUGCUGCCUAGUACUGCUAGUCCAAGCACCAGCACAGACAUAGUAGAAAAGAGGGGAAAGAGCUCAAGUGGAUGGAAAAUUGCUAUAGCAGUUCUCAAGCUCAUCCUUUCGGCCAUUUUUGGAGAUCCAAUUACUGGGUUUACUGCUCUUAUAGCUACUUUUGCUCAAAUUCUUUAUCCAAAUUGAUAUUAUUUGAGCAUCUCACAUCAUGCGAGUUACGGUUGUUCCAACAUUUAGGGCAGAUAUUUUUUCCUAUGCAACUGUUGAUGUCUAUCGGUUUAGGUUAAUUCCUGGUUUUUUUCUGCUUUGUUGGGGUUUGUUCUGUUGGCUUUCAGCUUUGGUCGUAUUCUGCUGGUUUUAAUCUUUUUGGGUUUGAUGCUGUUUAGGUAUAUGCAUUCUUAUAUAUUCUGGCCCAUGUCUGUCAGUAAAGGUUUUCUCAUGCAAUUAUUUUAAUAAUUUCAGUUUCUUUGUUAUCCG